rnacentral:rRNA from 1 species
GGGACACGUGGUAUCCUGUCUGAAUAUGGGGGGACCAUCCUCCAAGGCUAAAUACUCCUGACUGACCGAUAGUGAACCAGUACCGUGAGGGAAAGGCGAAAAGAACCCCGGCGAGGGGAGUGAAAAAGAACCUGAAACCGUGUACGUACAAGCAGUGGGAGCCUCUUAAUGGGGUGACUGCGUACCUUUUGUAUAAUGGGUCAGCGACUUAUAUUCUGUAGCAAGGUUAACCGAAUAGGGGAGCCGAAGGGAAACCGAGUCUUAACUGGGCGUUAAGUUGCAGGGUAUAGACCCGAAACCCGGUGAUCUAGCCAUGGGCAGGUUGAAGGUUGGGUAACACUAACUGGAGGACCGAACCGACUAAUGUUGAAAAAUUAGCGGAUGACUUGUGGCUGGGGGUGAAAGGCCAAUCAAACCGGGAGAUAGCUGGUUCUCCCCGAAAGCUAUUUAGGUAGCGCCUCGUGAAUUCAUCUCCGGGGGUAGAGCACUGUUUCGGCAAGGGGGUCAUCCCGACUUACCAACCCGAUGCAAACUGCGAAUACCGGAGAAUGUUAUCACGGGAGACACACGGCGGGUGCUAACGUCCGUCGUGAAGAGGGAAACAACCCAGACCGCCAGCUAAGGUCCCAAAGUCAUGGUUAAGUGGGAAACGAUGUGGGAAGGCCCAGACAGCCAGGAUGUUGGCUUAGAAGCAGCCAUCAUUUAAAGAAAGCGUAAUAGCUCACUGGUCGAGUCGGCCUGCGCGGAAGAUGUAACGGGGCUAAACCAUGCACCGAAGCUGCGGCAGCGACACUAUGUGUUGUUGGGUAGGGGAGCGUUCUGUAAGCCUGUGAAGGUGGCCUGUGAGGGUUGCUGGAGGUAUCAGAAGUGCGAAUGCUGACAUAAGUAACGAUAAAGCGGGUGAAAAGCCCGCUCGCCGGAAGACCAAGGGUUCCUGUCCAACGUUAAUCGGGGCAGGGUGAGUCGACCCCUAAGGCGAGGCCGAAUGGCGUAGUCGAUGGGAAACAGGUUAAUAUUCCUGUACUUGGUGUUACUGCGAAGGGGGGACGGAGAAGGCUAUGUUGGCCGGGCGACGGUUGUCCCGGUUUAAGCGUGUAGGCUGGUUUUCCAGGCAAAUCCGGAAAACCAAGGCUGAGGCGUGAUGACGAGGCACUACGGUGCUGAAGUGACAAAUGCCCUGCUUCCAGGAAAAGCCUCUAAGCAUCAGGUAACAUCAAAUCGUACCCCAAACCGACACAGGUGGUCAGGUAGAGAAUACCAAGGCGCUUGAGAGAACUCGGGUGAAGGAACUAGGCAAAAUGGUGCCGUAACUUCGGGAGAAGGCACGCUGAUAUGUAGGUGAAGCGACUUGCUCGUGGAGCUGAAAUCAGUCGAAGAUACCAGCUGGCUGCAACUGUUUAUUAAAAACACAGCACUGUGCAAACACGAAAGUGGACGUAUACGGUGUGACGCCUGCCCGGUGCCGGAAGGUUAAUUGAUGGGGUUAGCGGUAACGCGAAGCUCUUGAUCGAAGCCCCGGUAAACGGCGGCCGUAACUAUAACGGUCCUAAGGUAGCGAAAUUCCUUGUCGGGUAAGUUCCGACCUGCACGAAUGGCGUAAUGAUGGCCAGGCUGUCUCCACCCGAGACUCAGUGAAAUUGAACUCGCUGUGAAGAUGCAGUGUACCCGCGGCAAGACGGAAAGACCCCGUGAACCUUUACUAUAGCUUGACACUGAACAUUGAGCCUUGAUGUGUAGGAUAGGUGGGAGGCUUUGAAGUGUGGACGCCAGUCUGCAUGGAGCCGACCUUGAAAUACCACCCUUUAAUGUUUGAUGUUCUAACGUUGGCCCGUAAUCCGGGUUGCGGACAGUGUCUGGUGGGUAGUUUGACUGGGGCGGUCUCCUCCUAAAGAGUAACGGAGGAGCACGAAGGUUGGCUAAUCCUGGUCGGACAUCAGGAGGUUAGUGCAAUGGCAUAAGCCAGCUUGACUGCGAGCGUGACGGCGCGAGCAGGUGCGAAAGCAGGUCAUAGUGAUCCGGUGGUUCUGAAUGGAAGGGCCAUCGCUCAACGGAUAAAAGGUACUCCGGGGAUAACAGGCUGAUACCGCCCAAGAGUUCAUAUCGACGGCGGUGUUUGGCACCUCGAUGUCGGCUCAUCACAUCCUGGGGCUGAAGUAGGUCCCAAGGGUAUGGCUGUUCGCCAUUUAAAGUGGUACGCGAGCUGGGUUUAGAACGUCGUGAGACAGUUCGGUCCCUAUCUGCCGUGGGCGCUGGAGAACUGAGGGGGGCUGCUCCUAGUACGAGAGGACCGGAGUGGACGCAUCACUGGUGUUCGGGUUGUCAUGCCAAUGGCACUGCCCGGUAGCUAAAUGCGGAAGAGAUAAGUGCUGAAAGCAUCUAAGCACGAAACUUGCCCCGAGAUGAGUUCUCCCUGAGACUUAGAGUCUCCUGAAGGAACGUUGAAGACGACGACGUUGAUAGGCCGGGUGUGUAAGCGCAGCGAUGCGUUGAGCUAACCGGUACUAAUGAACCGUGAGGCUUAACCUUACAACGCCGAAG